rnacentral:rRNA from 1 species
AAUAGAUGAGCCUAAGUCAGAUUAGCUAGUUGGUGGGGUAAAGGCCUACCAAGGCGACGAUCUGUAGCGGGUCUGAGAGGAUGAUCCGCCACACUGGGACUGAGACACGGCCCAGACUCCUACGGGAGGCAGCAGUGGGGAAUAUUGGACAAUGGGCGAAAGCCUGAUCCAGCCAUGCCGCGUGUGUGAAGAAGGCCUUUUGGUUGUAAAGCACUUUAAGCGAGGAGGAGGCUACUUAGAUUAAUACUCUAGGAUAGUGGACGUUACUCGCAGAAUAAGCACCGGCUAACUCUGUGCCAGCAGCCGCGGUAAUACAGAGGGUGCGAGCGUUAAUCGGAUUUACUGGGCGUAAAGCGUGCGUAGGCGGCUUUUUAAGUCGGAUGUGAAAUCCCUGAGCUUAACUUAGGAAUUGCAUUCGAUACUGGGAAGCUAGAGUAUGGGAGAGGAUGGUAGAAUUCCAGGUGUAGCGGUGAAAUGCGUAGAGAUCUGGAGGAAUACCGAUGGCGAAGGCAGCCAUCUGGCCUAAUACUGACGCUGAGGUACGAAAGCAUGGGGAGCAAACAGGAUUAGAUACCCUGGUAGUCCAUGCCGUAAACGAUGUCUACUAGCCGUUGGGGCCUUUGAGGCUUUAGUGGCGCAGC